UCUUAUAAUACAGAAAAAAGUCACUUAAAAGUUCUAAUUGUUUAUUUUACUGACAUAGUUGUGAGUUCUAGCAAUUUAAUGCAUCCGUUAGAAUUUGAUUCUUUUCCAUUAUCCAUCAAAGUUCAAACGGGCGUUACGAAACCAGGAGACGCUUUCGAAAUUUCCAUGAAAGAUAACAUGAAAGUACAGACAAAUGUACUUCAAGUCAAACACAAAAAAAAACAAGAAAUGUAAAAAUUUUCACUUCAGCACGUACACGUCAUUUAUAUUUGAAUGUACUUAAUCUUCCCGCUUCAUAUUUAAUCGAUAGUUAAGUUGAAAAGAAUCGAACCAAUUUGUUCAAGUACAGUGCAUGAUUAAGAAUGAUGAUGCAUGUUAGUGUGAUUGUCAUCGUUAGUGGACAAAUCUAGCCUCUUAUUUGCACUAUUGAUCAUGUUGCCAGGCAUUUACAACAAAGUCAAGUAACUUCCUUCCAAACUAAGGCGAAGAUAAUACUCUCCUACCAUUCUCAUUUAAUCUAUAGCAACAUAUGCGCUGAUAAGUUUACUUAUCGAUGAUGAUAUGGACGUUGCACCACACUAAACUGUCUUCGAGAGCUUACUCUUGUAGUAGGUGCUGCAUUGUUGCUAUUGAUGGCUGGUAAGAAUCUUCUUCUACCAAGAAGCGUAACCACAAAUCCAUUCGUGCGGCACUGGUUAACUGUGUUUGUUAUAAAGCUUUGUAUACCUAAAAGGCAUUGACGUAAUCAGAUUAGAAAGAUUAGGCUAUAUCCAGAAUCGACAACACACGAUUAACUUAUUGGGAUACGUUGCGUGCAAAGUGUUAACAAAGAGUUGAGCCUCUUCUUCCCCGACUUCCAACUGUUCGGCUAAACUUUUACAUCCCAUGCCGUAAACAAUCCCGUAGCAGAUUUGUUUCGCUUGUUGCCUUUCAUCGUCUCUAACUUCGUCUUUCUUUUUCUUUUUCCAAACCGAUACAAUGCCGCGGAAAACAUCGCCAUCGGGUUGGCUAAGAACAGAACAAAGACCUGCGUCUUCGCUCAAAUGCGCCAAUAUUCGAAGUUCCAACUGAGAAUAAUCCGCCGAAAGCAAGAUAGUUCCUAUAUUUGAAAAAAAAAAGAAUUACUAACCGGAAACAUUUCUUAGAUAAGGACAAAUAAGAUAAAUCCGGUUAGGUUCUCAAUGCUCAAUCUCAGCGCACAGAGAGGCCCUUUUACUUGUUUCUUCACCGUUUGCAGGCAUAUCGUGAUGCUUUCACAUCUCAAUAUUGCCCCAGCACCGUAGUAAUCCUUACCGAAUCUUAUUCUAUUUUCUCUACAGGAAGGACUACCACUUAAACUAUUACAUCAAACUUAGGACUUUUAAAUUUCUUAUGCACCAUCAUUCCUAAUGCACCACCUAGCCUUAUUCCCUAAUGCACCACCUUCCUUUUAAUUUUCUUAUGGUUAAAUAGGAUUCAAACCUAAUUCCUCCUAGUUCCCAGUAACUCACUUUCGCUGCAAUCAGCUGCCGUUUGCAGCAUAAUAAUAUUAGUUGUUUGUUCGCAGAAGCAGGUUGAAACUAAACCAGUUUUCCGGUGUCCAAAACCGACCACGAAUCCAAUUCUUGUCCAUGUAUUCCAGCAGCCUUGCCAGUUCCUGUGGUGCUGAGUCCCGCAAACCGUCAAAUACGGAAGGAAGAUACGCAAGGUAAAGAAGACGAAAUACAAAAUCUCGAAUUGGAUUGGGCCCUUUUUUGUUAUAAGCUGAAGAAAGCUUUAGGUCGCGAAUCUUCUUCAAGAUAGCUUGACACCAAUGGAAAUUGCAUCCUUGGUGGAUUGAUGAUUAAUAUCUUAAAUAAAUAAAUUGUGCUUCUUGACUUCAAUAGGUUA